UGGUGUAGGCCCCAGCACCCCCUACAGGAGGCUAGUGGCCUUGCUGCACCCCAUCCCAGCAGGAGGAGCGGAGAAGAGGUCUUCCAGAUGCUAUAGAGUGGCUGUCUCUGUGGCAGCCAAUCAGGACCCAGCAGAGAGGAGUGAAAGGAAUGCAGGCUCAUCAAGCACAACAACAGACCCAAUCAAUGCAAACUGCUGCUUGGCUCCUGGCUGAAAUCAGGAGCAGCUGGGUUAGAAUCAGAGCUCCUGAGAUACUAGUUCCAACUUGGCAAGAACAGAACUGCAGCAGCAAAUGCAAAACACAAAAGAUCUCCAAUCUUUGGGGGAAUGGCAACACCCCAGGGUGGCUACCUAUUCUUCCAUUUAGUCCCACUUGCCUGUGAAAGUUCUUCCUUUGACUACAAUGGGCUUUGGGUCAGGUUACCAGGUAGGGUCCAUAUAGCCUGCUACACACACAAAUGUAGCUCCUCAGUAGGGUGGCAAUUGUACUUUUUAAUCUAGGACUUUUCUAUUUGCAUAAACCAUUCAAUGCACAUAAAUAAAUGCAACCCAAGGUUUUACUUACAAAAUUUGUUUGCUAUAGAUCUAUGCUGCUAACUUCCAUUAUUUAAUUAUGCUCUUGAUAGUGGUUCUUUUUAAAGGUAUAGACCAAUGUGGGAAUAAAGAAAUUGUUUAAAUAAAUAGAUUUGGGCUACUUUUGGGCUAUGAUUUUGUUUAAAUGACUGUGGACUGUUGAUUCAGUAGAAAUCUGGCAAUUGUAUUUUUGCUGAUUUUUUCCUAACCCAGCUGAGACCACGGUGUUAUCCAUUGCUUUAACUCAUCUGUAGUGUUGUUCAUUUUUCAGUAAUUUACUUUUAAACAUUCCUAGAAGAUAACUCUCAUUCUCCUCUUCACAAUUUGGACCAUAAGAGAUUUAAAAAAUAACAAUUGUAAAGCUAAGCAGAUUUUAUUUAUCUUUACUAAAUAUAGUGUACAAGUUAUCAAACUUGUAUUGUCGAGUCAA